CAAACACACGCCGCAUGUGUAUGUGUGUGUGUGUAUAUAUAUGUAUAUAUAUGUAUGUGUAUAUAUAUGUAUAUAUAUAUAUAUAUAUAUAUAAACACACACACACAUACAUACCCUGCUGUGUGUGCUGU